rnacentral:rRNA from 1 species
AGUGGGAGCACAGGUUUACCUGUGUGACUGCGUACCUUUUGUAUAAUGGGUCAGCGACUUAUAUUCUGUAGCAAGGUUAACCGUAUAGGGGAGCCGUAGGGAAACCGAGUCUUAACCGGGCGUUAAGUUGCAGGGUAUAGACCCGAAACCCGGUGAUCUAGCCAUGGGCAGGUUGAAGGUUGGGUAACACUAACUGGAGGACCGAACCGACUAAUGUUGAAAAAUUAGCGGAUGACCUGUGGCUGGGGGUGAAAGGCCAAUCAAACCGGGAGAUAGCUGGUUCUCCCCGAAAGCUAUUUAGGUAGCGCCUCGUGAAUUCAUCUCCGGGGGUAGAGCACUGUUUCGGCUAGGGGGCCAUCCCGGCUUACCAACCCGAUGCAAACUGCGAAUACCGGAGAAUGUUAUCACGGGAGACACACGGCGGGUGCUAACGUCCGUCGUGAAGAGGGAAACAACCCAGACCGCCAGCUAAGGUCCCAAAGUCAUGGUUAAGUGGGAAACGAUGUGGGAAGGCCCAGACAGCCAGGAUGUUGGCUUAGAAGCAGCCAUCAUUUAAAGAAAGCGUAAUAGCUCACUGGUCGAGUCGGCCUGCGCGGAAGAUGUAACGGGGCUAAACCAUGCACCGAAGCUGCGGCAGCGAACGUAUCACCCAAGACAACUUUACGGAGUUGACGAUUGACGGAGCGAAGCGACGUCAAAGCGUUCAUUAAAGUCGAGUUGGCUUAGGGAUACGUUCGUUGGGUAGGGGAGCGUUCUGUAAGCCUGUGAAGGUGUGUCGUGAGGCAUGCUGGAGGUAUCAGAAGUGCGAAUGCUGACAUAAGUAACGAUAAAGCGGGUGAAAAGCCCGCUCGCCGGAAGACCAAGGGUUCCUGUCCAACGUUAAUCGGGGCAGGGUGAGUCGACCCCUAAGGCGAGGCCGAAAGGCGUAGUCGAUGGGAAACGGGUUAAUAUUCCCGUACUUGGUGUUACUGCGAAGGGGGGACGGAGAAGGCUAUGUUGGCCGGGCGACGGUUGUCCCGGUUUAAGCGUGUAGGUGUGUGUUCCAGGUAAAUCCGGUUCACUUUAACACUGAGGCGUGACGACGAGGCACUACGGUGCUGAAGCAACAAAUGCCCUGCUUCCAGGAAAAGCCUCUAAGCAUCAGGUAACACGAAAUCGUACCCCAAACCGACACAGGUGGUCAGGUAGAGAAUACCAAGGCGCUUGAGAGAACUCGGGUGAAGGAACUAGGCAAAAUGGUGCCGUAACUUCGGGAGAAGGCACGCUGACACGUAGGUGAAGUGAUUUACUCAUGGAGCUGAAGUCAGUCGAAGAUACCAGCUGGCUGCAACUGUUUAUUAAAAACACAGCACUGUGCAAACACGAAAGUGGACGUAUACGGUGUGACGCCUGCCCGGUGCCGGAA